UACAGAGGUGGCAAGCGUUGUUCGGAAUUAUUGGGCGUAAAGGGCUCGUAGGCGGUUUGUCGCGUCGGGAGUGAAAACCCAGGGCUUAACUCUGGGCUGGCUUUCGAUACGGGCAGACUAGAGGCAUGCAGGGGAGAACGGAAUUCCUGGUGUAGCGGUGAAAUGCGCAGAUAUCAGGAGGAACACCGGUGCGAAGGCGGUUCUCUGGGCAGUGUCCUGACGCUGAGGACGAAGUGUGGGAGCG
rnacentral:rRNA from 1 species